AGUGAACGCUGGCGGUAGGCCUAACACACGCAAGUCGAACGGCAGCACAGUAAGAGCUUGCUCUUACGGGUGGCGAGUGGCGGACGGGUGAGGAAUACAUCGGAAUCUACUUUUUCGUGGGGGAUAACGUAGGGAAACUUACGCUAAUACCGCAUACGACCUACGGGUGAAAGCAGGGGAUCUUCGGACCUUGCGCGAUUGAAUGAGCCGAUGUCGGAUUAGCUAGUUGGCGGGGUAAAGGCCCACCAAGGCGACGAUCCGUAGCUGGUCUGAGAGGAUGAUCAGACACACUGGAACUGAGACACGGUCCAGACUCCUACGGGAGGCAGCAGUGGGGAAUAUUGGACAAUGGGCGCAAGCCUGAUCCAGCCAUACCGCGUGGGUGAAGAAGGCCUUCGGGUUGUAAAGCCCUUUUGUUGGGAAAGAAAAGCAGCAGGUUAAUACCCCGCUGUUCUGACGGUACCCAAAGAAUAAGCACCGGCUAACUUCGUG
rnacentral:rRNA from 1 species